GGUCCCUGUCAUUUCCGUUCUCCUGGUACCACGCCAUCCUUUGUUGCACGGGCUCAAUGUGUUUCUCCACGCUGACAGCGAUCCAGCAGCCCGCCAAGCGUGGAAUCCCAAGUCCUCUGCUAUCGGCAAUUGUAGCGUCCCUUCAUUUCGUGCCAGUUUCAGGUUCACUUACCCUUGACACAUCACGAGGCUGUCUGGUGAGCAAGAGCUGUUCACAGGAGCAGAUUUUAGGGAUCAGCGGCCAAAGCAGGAAAGAUUUGGUCCACCAUAAUAAUACAUGUUCCUCCAGCGAUUCAUAUAUAUUCUUCCACAUGGAGAGAAAAUUCUGGAGACAAGUGACAGAAAUGCUCCAGUACCCAAACCACAGACUCCCAGAGGCCUGCCACAUGUGAGCAGCUGGGCCUUGUUUUCACAU
ensembl:lncRNA